AGGCAUCAUGAGGACUGUGGACUCUAUCCAUGAGACCAGGCUGCAGAGGAUCUAGGCUGCUGCAGAUUGCAUUCAGGGCACAGACCUGAGGGCUCUGCCCCUGCUUGCAGAUCAUCAUGCAGAUCUGGCCCUACCUAAGCAUGAUCAUGGAGAACAAGGUGCGGGAGAAGCUGGAGCCCAAGAUCCGGGAGAAGAGUGUCCACCUCAGGACCUUCACCUUCACCAAGCUCUACUUUGGACAGAAGUGUCCCAAGGUGAAUGGUGUCAAGGCACACACUGACAAAUGCAACCGAAGGAAAGUGAC
rnacentral:lncRNA from 1 species